rnacentral:tRNA from 1 species
AGCCUCGAAGUGUUUCACGUCAAAAUGCAAGUUUGAAAAAGAGCCCCAAUAGGGCUCCGGGGCUU